rnacentral:rRNA from 1 species
AUGUAAAACCCUUCCAGAGUAACAAUUGGACAUCAAGUCUGGUGCCAGCAGCCGCGGUAAUUCCAGCUCCAAUAGUGUAUAUUAGAGUUGUUGCAGUUAAAAAGCUCGUAGUUGGAUUUCUGCUGUGGUCAUCCGGUACCGCCCGUAUGGGUGCGCACCUGGUUUGGCUCCGGCUUUCUUCCUGUAGCCGUCCGCGCUUAAUUGCGCGUACUGUGUUACGGAACUUUUACUUUGAGAAAAAUAGAGUGUUUCAAGCAGGCUUGUCGCCCUGAAUACUUCAGCAUGGAAUAAUAGGAUAGGACCUUGGUUCUAUUUUGUUGGUUUCUAGGACCAAGGUAAUGAUUAAUAGGGACA